rnacentral:lncRNA from 1 species
ACUGCCUUAUAAGGUGAGGGCGCCACAUUCACUUGACUUUUGAAGUAAGGACCUUUUCAAUUAGGUCUAGUUUUCUUAAAAUGAAAAUCAGAUUAAAAGGUAAUGACCUUAUAAGAUAAGAUCUCACCUUUUCAGCCUGAUUGGAUAAUGAUUUGAAAUCAAGAAAGGCCUAUUUAAGGAAAUGGUCUCCUAGGGUUUGAAAACAAUUGAAUUUUGAGAUUCAAAACCUCUUUCUCUCCUUGUCCACGCCAUCCCUUCUUCCUCUCUUUUCAAUGCCCAAGUGUUGGGCAUCCCAUCUUCCUACACGC